rnacentral:rRNA from 1 species
GACGAACGCUGGCGGCGUGCUUAACACAUGCAAGUCGAACGGUGAACGAGGGAGCUUGCUCCCUCCGGAUCAGUGGCGAACGGGUGAGUAACACGUGAGCAAUCUGCCCCGAACUCUGGGAUAAGCGUUGGAAACGACGUCUAAUACCGGAUACGACGCGGGAGGGCAUCCUCUCCGCGUGGAAAGAACUUCGGUUCGGGAUGAGCUCGCGGCCUAUCAUCUUGUUGGUGAGGUAACGGCUCACCAAGGCGACGACGGGUAGCCGGCCUGAGAGGGUGACCGGCCACACUGGGACUGAGACACGGCCCAGACUCCUACGGGAGGCAGCAGUGGGGAAUAUUGCACAAUGGGCGCAAGCCUGAUGCAGCAACGCCGCGUGAGGGACGACGGCCUUCGGGUUGUAAACCUCUUUUAGCAGGGAAGAAGCGAAAGUGACGGUACCUGCAGAAAAAGCACCGGCUAACUACGUG